rnacentral:rRNA from 1 species
GGGGAAUAUUGCACAAUGGGCGCAAGCCUGAUGCAGCGACGCCGCGUGGGGGAUGACGGCCUUCGGGUUGUAAACUCCUUUCGCUAGGGACGAAGCUUUUUGUGACGGUACCUAGAUAAGAAGCACCGGCUAACUACGUGCCAGCAGCCGCGGUAAUACGUAGGGUGCGAGCGUUGUCCGGGAUUACUGGGCGUAAAGGGCUCGUAGGUGGUUUGUCGCGUCGUCUGUGAAAUUCCGGGGCUUAACUCCGGGCGUGCAGGCGAUACGGGCAUAACUUGAGUACUGUAGGGGUAACUGGAAUUCCUGGUGUAGCGGUGAAAUGCGCAGAUAUCAGGAGGAACACCGAUGGCGAAGGCAGGUUACUGGGCAGUUACUGACGCUGAGGAGCGAAAGCAUGGGUAGCGAACAGGAUUAGAUACCCUGGUAGUCCAUGCCGUAAACGGUGGGCGCUAGGUGUGAGGGUCUUUUCACGACUUUCGUGCCGUAGCUAACGCAUUAAGCGCCCCGCCUGGGGAGUACGGCCGCAAGGCUA